UAGCUGCGAUACGUGAUGUGAAUUGCAGAAUUCGUGAAUCAUCGAAUCUUUGAACGCAUACUGCGCUUUUGGGUGACCAGAAGCAUGUCUGCUUGAGUGUCAUUUAUACAUCUUCACCUUAAAAAAAUUCUCCUUCUUCCCCGGAAGCUGGAGCGACUUUUCUAAGGUGGAUAUGCAAGUCUUUCUUUGCCUCUGGGUAAAACAAAGUCUUGUGAAAGCUAUUGGAAACAAAAAAAUUUAAUAAGAGAGAAUGGUUUCCUUUCUCCCUCUAUUUUUUUUCCCCUUUCCUCUCAUGUAAUGAGGUAGAAUUUUACAACAUUACAGCUACGAGUUGGGAUAGAGAAGCUCAUAAAAAAAAGAGGUUGGUUACCUUCCCCCUUUUCAAUAUUUGACCUCAAGUCAGACAAGACUACCCGCUGAACUUAAGC
rnacentral:misc_RNA from 1 species